GAUCUGGGUCCAGCCUCGAGAGGACGCCUCGUGCAGGGCCGUGUAGCCCGCGUUGUCCCGCCGGUUCACCUCCCGGAUGUCCUUUUCGAGGCAGUACUGCACCACCUCCUGACGGGCCGACCCCCCCACCAAAAAAGGGGCGGCGCAGUGGGUCAACUGGAAAGCCUUGCCCUCGCAGUUCUGAGCUCCCGGGUUCGAUUUCGGACCCGCCUGUGUGGAGUUUGCAUGUUCUUGCUGUGCCUGCGUGGGUUUCCUCCAGGCACUCCGGUUUCCUCCCACAUCCCAAAAACAUGCAACAUGAAGAAAAUGGAUGGAUGAACUUAUGCUAGGAGUUAGCAAGUGUACUUGAAGCAAGCACAGCAAGCCUCUUAUGUGGAGAAUUAUGGUCGCAAGCGCGCCGGCGCUUAUCCCGUCCAUCUUCGGGCGAGAGGCGGGGGUAUACUCUCAACUGCUUGCCAGCAACGGUUUGCUGUCGGACUCCUCCACCGACACGUCGCCGGCCUGGUAACGGACCGAACCCGAGCGCGUGAAGGAGGGUCUCCGAAGCGGCGCCGGCGACUCCGGACCGGAAGCGGCGGGACUCGGGCACUGAGCCGUCUGGGAAUCUGCAACAGUCGUUGCAGAAUCGCGCCCGGGGAACAGAUGGGAGCUACCCCUAAAACCGUCUAAGGAGUCUCAGACACGGACUCGUGUCACGAGGACCGACGAACAGUGUUUCAGAGGUGAAAACAAGCUAAAGUUUACAGGCCCGGCCGGUGGUGUUGAGUUCCAGUAGAAAACCUUCAAGAACCGUAAAGUUUGGGUCUUUGGGCCAGCAACCUAUCCAGGGAAUCCCAGACUUCUCUGUCCUAAGAUACUCCGUCUAAGUCUUCCGUUCCCAGGGCAACCGGAAGACGUAGUCUCUCCAGGGUGUCCUGGGUGGUCCCAGGGGCCCGCUACACCUCACCGGGGCGAGAUUCCGAGAGUAUCCUUAUGUCCGAGCCGCCACAUUUGACUCCUCUCAAAGCGGAGGAGCAACGGCUGGAGUCCGAGCCCCUCCCGGACGACCGAGCUUGUCACUCGUUCUCUAAGGGAGAGCCCGGACCCCCUGCGGAGGAAACUCAUUUCGGGCGCUUGUUCUUUGGGUCAUGAACCACGGCUCGUGAAAGUGGAGACCGGGAAUGGCCGGUAAAUCACCUCGAGAGACCGAUAACGUCACUGCACCGAUCCGCCUGUCGAUUACUCGCUCCAAUCUUCCCUCACUUGUCAACAAGACCCCGGGAUACUUGAACUCCUCCACUUGGGGGCAGGAACUCAUCCCAGACCCGAAGAGGGCACGCCACCCUUUACCGACCGAGGACCACGGCCUUGGAUUUGCUCCCUAUUCUCAUCCCAUCUGCUUCACGCUCAGGAGAUCACAGCACGAUGAAACAAUCAGAACCAAAUCAUCUGCAAAAAGCAACCACGUAAAACUGACGCCGCCAAACCGGACAUCCUCAACACCCCCAAAAACUGUUUACUGAAAUCAGACCUCAUCCCGGACAUCUUAACAGGGUUGCGUGGCACCGGAACCCGUCCCGGCUGACUUUGAUGGCAAAAGGCAAACUACGCCCCCAGGACUGGUCGCCAGUCAGUCGCAGGGCGCAUCUACGUAGACGGGGCGCCAUCGAGUACGAACUGAACCCGCGCUGCCCCCACCAAAGUCAGGCAAGUGUACCGUUACACCUUCAGUGACUAUAACCAAUUGAUAUUUGCGCGUUUUUUGCUGUGUCAAUUUGAAAUAAAAUGACGGACAUUUACAUUUAAAAAAAAAAAUCUAAUUAAUCGAUUAAUUGAAAAAAAAAAUCACCAGAGUAACUGGUUAAAAUUCAAAUUAAAGAAAACGUUUGAGGCCCCAAAUUAUCCAAAUUGUGUAUGAUAAAUAAGGCACUCCCGCGACCCUUGUGAGGAUAAGCAGCUCAAAUAAUGGGCGGAUGUGUUGCCUUCCAGUGCAGUCAUCACUUGCUUAGCCUUCACUCACGAUAUCAUUCAUCCGAACGGGUCAUACAUUGCAGAAAAUUACUUCAGUCAUUCGGUGAAACGCACUCAAAUCGGAGCAAAAAUGAAAAACUAUGAAAAUACAUUUUGUGAAAUUAUUUUUUUUGGUGUGCAUAAAAUGUGUUAAAGUGUCACGGCAUGCUUCGUUCAGUCAA